UGUAUCUGAAGUCUGAUGAGGAUGAGAACCUCCGGGGGCAAGAGGUUCGACUCGAGCGAAGCGAGAGAACGUUGCGUCAGCAACGGCCCGCAGGGCGAGCCACGCAGUGGCGAGUCAUCCUCUAUCACCGACCA
rnacentral:sRNA from 12 species